UUUAUAAAAUAACUCAGUAAAAUUUUAUAAUUUAUGAAAUAAUUUUGCUAAAUUUAUAUUUGAUAAAUUAAUUAUAUUUUCGCCACGUAGAAUAAGAUUAUUUUUCAAAAAGUGGAUCGUUCACGGUAUUUUUCCAUAUUUUUUAAAGGUAUCACUUUCUCCUAUUUCUUUUAAAGGUAUUCAUUAAAAUUAGGCGUAGUAAAUAGAAAAAAGUGAGGUUGUUAGGAUUAUACGUGGAUCAUUAGAUUUGAUUGUUAGGAUUGUAUGGAUAGAUUAUUAAGAUUUUUAGACUGUUAAGAUUAUAUAAAAUUAUAUGGAUAUAUUAUUAGAAUUUUCUAUUAAAAUUAUAUGAAAUUAUUAUGGAUAGACUAUUAGAAUUUUCAGACCGUAUAAAAUUAUAUGGAUAAAUUAUUAGAAUUUUCAGAUUGUUAAGAUUAUAUAUAAUUUGUUAAAAUUUUUAUGUGGUUAUUAGAAUUAUAAAUGGGAUAUAGAAAGUAACAGUAAAUAAGCGAAAGUCGAUGGAUAAUUGACCGCUCAUGUGGAAAAUUAGGUGACUCGUUCACCAUCUUCAAUAAUGCAGUGAACGAUUCAUCGCCUUUAUAAGAAAUAUCCGCCCCACGCCUAUGUGGCGAAAGAAGUGUUAGUUUUACAAAUAUAAUUUUGAAAAGAUUAUUUGACAUUUUAAAAAUUCUAGAGAAUUGUUUUAUAAAAAUAUCCCUCUUUCUCUCUCUACAACUC
rnacentral:lncRNA from 1 species